AGUUGCUGGGUGUAGACCCGAAACCGAGUGAUCUAUCCAUGGCCAGGUUGAAGGUGCCGUAACAGGUACUGGAGGACCGAACCCACGCAUGUUGCAAAAUGCGGGGAUGAGCUGUGGAUAGGGGUGAAAGGCUAAACAAACUCGGAGAUAGCUGGUUCUCCCCGAAAACUAUUUAGGUAGUGCCUCGAGCAAGACACUGAUGGGGGUAAAGCACUGUUAUGGCUAGGGGGUUAUUGCAACUUACCAACCCAUGGCAAACUCAGAAUACCAUCAAGUGGUUCCUCGGGAGACAGACAGCGGGUGCUAACGUCCGUUGUCAAGAGGGAAACAACCCAGACCGCCAGCUAAGGUCCCCAAUGAUAGAUUAAGUGGUAAACGAAGUGGGAAGGCCCAGACAGCCAGGAUGUUGGCUUAGAAGCAGCCAUCAUUUAAAGAAAGCGUAAUAGCUCACUGGUCGAGUCGUCCUGCGCGGAAGAUGUAACGGGGCUCAAAUCUAUAACCGAAGCUGCGGAUGCCGGUUUACCGGCAUGGUAGGGGAGCGUUCUGUAGGCCGAUGAAGGUGUAUUGUAAAGUGUGCUGGAGGUAUCAGAAGUGCGAAUGUUGACAUGAGUAGCGAUAAAGCGGGUGAAAAGCCCGCUCGCCGAAAGCCCAAGGUUUCCUGCGCAACGUUCAUCGGCGUAGGGUGAGUCGGCCCCUAAGGCGAGGCAGAAAUGCGUAGUCGAUGGGAAACAGGUUAAUAUUCCUGUACUUGAUUCAAAUGCGAUGUGGGGACGGAGAAGGUUAGGUUGGCAAGCUGUUGGAAUAGCUUGUUUAAGCCGGUAGGUGGAAGACUUAGGCAAAUCCGGGUCUUCUUAACACCGAGAAGUGACGACGAGUGUCUACGGACACGAAGUAACCGAUACCACGCUUCCAGGAAAAGCCACUAAGCUUCAGUUUGAAUCGAACCGUACCGCAAACCGACACAGGUGGGCAGGAUGAGAAUUCUAAGGCGCUUGAGAGAACUCAGGAGAAGGAACUCGGCAAAUUGAUACCGUAACUUCGGGAGAAGGUAUGCCCUCUAAGGUUAAGGACUUGCUCCGUAAGCCUAGGAGGGUCGCAGAGAAUAGGUGGCUGCGACUGUUUAUUAAAAACACAGCACUCUGCUAACACGAAAGUGGACGUAUAGGGUGUGACGCCUGCCCGGUGCUGGAAGGUUAAUUGAAGAUGUGAGAGCAUCGGAUCGAAGCCCCAGUAAACGGCGGCCGUAACUAUAACGGUCCUAAGGUAGCGAAAUUCCUUGUCGGGUAAGUUCCGACCCGCACGAAUGGCGUAACGAUGGCCACACUGUCUCCUCCUGAGACUCAGCGAAGUUGAAGUGGUUGUGAAGAUGCAAUCUACCCGCUGCUAGACGGAAAGACCCCGUGAACCUUUACUGUAGCUUUGCAUUGGACUUUGAAGUCACUUGUGUAGGAUAGGUGGGAGGCUUAGAAGCAGAGACGCCAGUCUCUGCGGAGCCGUCCUUGAAAUACCACCCUGGUGUCUUUGAGGUUCUAACCCAGACCCGUCAUCCGGGUCGGGGACCGUGCAUGGUAGGCAGUUUGACUGGGGCGGUCUCCUCCCAAAGCGUAACGGAGGAGUUCGAAGGUUACCUAGGUCCGGUCGGAAAUCGGACUGAUAGUGCAAUGGCAAAAGGUAGCUUAACUGCGAGACCGACAAGUCGAGCAGGUGCGAAAGCAGGACAUAGUGAUCCGGUGGUUCUGUAUGGAAGGGCCAUCGCUCAACGGAUAAAAGGUACUCCGGGGAUAACAGGCUGAUUCCGCCCAAGAGUUCAUAUCGACGGCGGAGUUUGGCACCUCGAUGUCGGCUCAUCACAUCCUGGGGCUGUAGUCGGUCCCAAGGGUAUGGCUGUUCGCCAUUUAAAGUGGUACGUGAGCUGGGUUUAAAACGUCGUGAGACAGUUUGGUCCCUAUCUGCAGUGGGCGUUGGAAGUUUGACGGGGGCUGCUCCUAGUACGAGAGGACCGGAGUGGACGAACCUCUGGUGUACCGGUUGUAACGCCAGUUGCAUAGCCGGGUAGCUAAGUUCGGAAGAGAUAAGCGCUGAAAGCAUCUAAGCGCGAAACUCGCCUGAAGAUGAGACUUCCCUUGCGGUUUAACCGCACUAAAGAGUCGUUCGAGACCAGGACGUUGAUAGGU
rnacentral:rRNA from 1 species